GAAAUGCGAUAAGUAGUGUGAAUUGCAGAAUUCAGUGAAUCAUCGAAUCUUUGAACGCACAUUGCGCCCCUUGGUAUUCCAUGGGGCAUGCCUGUUCGAGCGUCAUUUGUACCCUCAAGCUCUGCUUUGUGUUGGGUGUUUGUCCCGUCUCCGCGCGUGGACUCGCCCCAAAGUGAUUGGCAGCCGGCGUACUGGUCCCGGAGCGCAGCACAUGUCGCGCAAACGAGUGCCUUGGUACGGCGGCGUCCAUAAGCCCCUCUCUCACGCUCUUGACCUCGGAUCAGGUAGGGAUACCCGCUGAACUUAAGC
rnacentral:misc_RNA from 1 species